UUGCAUGGUUUGAGUGAACUUAAUGGUUUUGUUUCCUAUGUCACUUGCGCAAAUCGCAUGCUCACAAAGCUUUUUGAACGGACAUGUUUUAUUAACCGCAAGAACUUCGUAGCAGCUGAGCACACAAAAAAUAAUCUCGUAAAAUGAAAAUGAAGUUGUGUGGGAUUUUUGUUCUACUUGUGUGCUGUGCAGGUUUUUGCGGAGCGAUUCGGUGCUAUGUAUGUUCAACUAUCAGCACCAGCAACUGUGCAGACACGUUCAACCCGAUUGGUAUCGUACAGGAAGAUAACUGUGUAGGCUGCUUGAAACUCAAAGGAAAGCAAGUUGGCAUACAGCUGAUUGAUAGGUCAUGCCUUCCAUUGUCAUCGCCUGUCUCCGGAUGCACGUCUGGCUCACAGCACGGGUUCGAUGCCGCCGCAUGUCACUGUAGCACAGACCUCUGUAACAGCGCGACGUGUUCAACUGCAAUAUUUACGAUCAUUGUGAUUCCUCUUGUCAUGUUAUUGAAAUAUCUGUGAUUGUUCUUUUAAGAAUUACAUAUAUCAGAGUAUUCAUUGAUAUAAUGGACAGUGCGCCGUUAUGUUCUUUUCAAUAAUUGGCAGUGAUCCGUGAUGUUAUUCUUUGUUGCUUUAUUUUCAUUUUUUACUUUUAUUUCCACACAAAAGUUCUAUUUAUAGAGAUAAAUGAUCAUAUUAAUAAUCGUACACUACUUCGGUUUCAAUUUUGAUGCAUAUACUUAAUCGCAGAAAUAGACGAAGUGUGAAAAAAUAUAUGUGUUUUUUUUAAAUUGUCACAAUAAAACAUAAUAGAAUUUUAUUAUCGAAAAUGACAGUUAAUCUAAAGAUGUGCAAUCGUUAUAUGGCAAAAUGAAAUCCCAAUUUGUAUUGAAACCCAUUUCAUUUGAUCUAUUUUUAAACGACGUGAUCACAUAAUUAUAUUCGCGGCGCAAUGUAAAAUGGCUGCGCAACGACGUCUAUGUAAAAUGGCUGCGGAACAAUGCAUUUGUACAAUUGCUGCGCAAAGAUGUUUAUGUAAAAAGGUUGCGAAAUGACGCGUAUAAAAAUGGCUGCUUAACGAUGCAUAUGUAAAAUGGCUUCGCCAUGAAGAUCAUGUAAAAUAGCUGCGCAGCGACGUAAAUGUAAAAUGGCGUGCAAUAAAAUAAAUCUGGCUCUUACAUUUUUUAGCACUUGAAUCA